UAAGGAAUAUUGGUCAAUGGGCGGAAGCCUGAACCAGCCAUGCCGCGUGCAGGAAGACGGCCCUACGGGUUGUAAACUGCUUUUGUACCGGAAUAAACCUUGAUUCGUGAAUCAAGCUGAAUGUACGGUAAGAAUAAGGAUCGGCUAACUCCGUG
rnacentral:rRNA from 1 species